rnacentral:misc_RNA from 1 species
UCUCCGUUGGUGAACCAGCGGAGGGAUCAUUACCGAGUUCCACCAACUCCCAACCCUUGCGAACCGUACCCCAGUCUGUUCUCGUUGCUUCCGACAGGCGGGGGGGGCCACCUGCCCCCCCCCCCUGCCGGGGGCGGCGGGCCCUCUGAAGCUUUACAUCCCAACAACUGAAACCCGCAUGAGCAAAAAAAAAAAGAAACAAAACUUUCAACAACGGAUCUCUUGGCUCUG